rnacentral:rRNA from 1 species
GACGAACGCUGGCGGCGUGCUUAACACAUGCAAGUCGAGCGGUAAGGCCCUUUCGGGGGUACGACGAGCGGCGAACGGGUGAGUAACACGUGGGUGACCUGCCCUCAGCUCUGGGAUAAGCCUGGGAAACCGGGUACUAAUACCGGAUAUGACUCCAUGACGCAUGUUGUGGGGUGGAAAGCCUUGUGCGGCUGAGGAUGGGCCCGCGGCCUAUCAGCUUGUUGGUGGGGUGAUGGCCUACCAAGGCGACGACGGGUAGCCGGCCUGAGAGGGCGACCGGCCACACUGGGACUGAGAUACGGCCCAGACUCCUACGGGAGGCAGCA